UACGUAGGGGGCGAGCGUUGUCCGGAGUUACUGGGCGUAAAGCGCACGCAGGCGGUCUGUUAAGUUUGGAGUGACAGUUGGUGGCUUAACUGCCAAAGUGCUUCGAAAACUGACAGACUUGAGGGCUUCAGAGGGACACGGAAUUCCGGGUGGAGUGGUGAAAUGCGUAGAGAUCCGGAGGAACACCAAAGGCGAAGGCAGCUCGCUGGGACGUUACUGACACUGAGGCGCGAAAGCGUGGGGAGCGAACAGG
rnacentral:rRNA from 1 species